rnacentral:rRNA from 1 species
UACGGGGGGGGCAAGCGUUGUUCGGAAUUACUGGGCGUAAAGGGCUCGUAGGCGGCCCAUUAAGUCGGGUGUGAAAUCCCCAGGCUCAACCUGGGAACUGCAUCCGAUACUGGAUGGCUUGAAUUCGGGAGAGGGAUGCAGAAUUCCAGGUGUAGCGGUGAAAUGCGUAGAUAUCUGGAGGAAUACCGGUGGCGAAGGCGGCGUCCUGGACCGACAUUGACGCUGAUGAGCGAAAGCUAGGGGAGCAAACGGG